ACUCAAAUGAAUUGACGGGGGCCCGCACAAGCGGUGGAUCAUGUGGUUUAAUUCGAAGCAACGCGAAAAACCUUACCUGGGUUUGACAUCCCCGGAAGAUCUCAGAAAUGGGAUUGUCUGUAGCAAUACAGCCGGGAGACAGGUGCUGCAUGGCUGUCGUCAGCUCGUGUGGUGACAUGUUGGGUUAAGUCCCGCAACGAGCGCAACCCCUGUCCUUAGUUGCCAGCAUUAAGUUGGGCUCUCUAAGGAGACUGCCGUGGUUAACACGGAGGAAGGUGGGGAUGACGUCAAGUCCUCAUGGCCUUUAUAUCCAGGGCGACACACGUGAUACAAUGGUCGGUACAGAGGGAAGCCAAAGCGCGAGCUGGAGCCAAUCUCAAAAAGCCGAUCUCAGUUCGGAUUGGAGUCUGCAACUCGACUCCAUGAAGUUGGAAUCGCUAGUAAUCGCGGAUCAGCACGCCGCGGUGAAUACGUUCCCGGGCCUUGCACACACCGCCCGU
rnacentral:rRNA from 1 species